CGGGUGGGAAAUGACUUUCGUGGGUGUGACGGGCGGUGUGUACAAGGCCCGGGAACGUAUUCACCGCAGUAUGCUGACCUGCGAUUACUAGCGAUUCCGACUUCAUGCAGGCGAGUUUCAGCCUGCAAUCCGAACUGAGAGAUGCUUUUAGGGUUCCGCUCUGCCUCGCGACUUCGCUUCCCUCUGUUCAUCCCAUUGUAGUACGUGUGUAGCCCAAGACGUAANGGGCAUGAUGACUUGACGUCAUCCCCGCCUUCCUCCGCGUUGUCCGCGGCAGUCUACUAUGAGUUCCCACCUUUACGUGCUGGCAA
rnacentral:rRNA from 1 species